GUGAAUCAUCGAAUUUUUGAACGCAAAUUGCGCUUCCUAGCAUCCCGGUAAGUAUGCCUGUUUGAGGGUCAGUAUUAACAAAAAAAUCGGUUUUGUUUCAAAUUGUGAUGUUUCCGGAGUUUGUUCUUAUCUUAACUUUUUUUGUUAUGUAUCUUAAAAUUUACCUUUUUUGCUCAUUUGUAGACGUACAUAAAUUUUUUUUAUUCGUCUUAUCUUAAUUCCAAUAUCUUAUUAGAUGAGAUGACAUCAUGUCUCUUCGUUU
rnacentral:misc_RNA from 1 species